GGUCCAGUGGUAUAACGGUUAUUACGUUUCGUUUACAUUUUCAGUCUUCACAGAGAGGCUUUUAUGUGCCGAAAAGGCUCCGAGUUCGAUUCUCGGCUGGAUCA